CCACGCAAGCAAAUCAAGCCUGUGUGUGGCUUUCAGGUAGGAAGUAGAGGCAAACUCACUGCCAAGGAAAGGAACGAAGCUACGUGUUUCUGCCAAAUUCUCAAAACAAGGGUCACACAUAAUGGCAACAGAAAAUAAUGUCUUUGCCACGCUGGCUUGUUGCCUUGUGGCUGUUUCUUUUGCUAUGGCACAAUCUAACAUGACAAAUUGGACUGUGUUGGCUUCCACCACCCCUGGCUCAAACACGACUGCCUUUGUAACUUCACCUAACACCACAGAAAAUGGAGCGGCUGCUUCAAAGGCGACGGAGAACACAACUCCAUUCACCAGCACAUCUAACAACAAUACAACAUUUACUGAAACCACAAGUCACACCCAGACGACUGGGUCAACAACCGAUUCGACUCCUCUAAUAAAUACUACCUCACUGACGACAGCACCUGGCAACAACACAACAGCAUUUACAGCACCUACAAACCAGACCACAACAGGUGACACAAGUACACCUGCUACUACAGUACUUACAACUGUAUAUUCAUCUAACACUGCCAACACAACCUCGGAAUCAGAGGCAGAAACGACACAAGCUGUGGGACUAAAUGAAUCAGAGAAGAGCAUGACUAUUGUCUUCAGUGUUUUUCUAGGACUCUUUGGCUUUGGAUUGGUUGUCUUGAUUUUUACCAGAUGCAGGCAUAAAUUCCAAUAUAUGCACCAACCUCUUAACAACACUAGUGACGCAGAUGCAUUUGUGGCGGACGAUGACACACUUGUCAUUUCUGGAGGACUUUAUGAUGGACAUGCAAACUAUGACAAUGCACCAACAGCCCCUACAGAUGAAUCGCAAUUUCGUCUUGAGUUCCUUCACUAAACUGUGUUCCCACAGUUUGCUACCUUUAAUACUAAACUUAAUAAUAGUUUCGUGAUUUAAAAAAGCAAAAGAAAAUUGACGGGUUGGACAUUCAACAAAGAUGAUGCUGACUGAGCAGAACCUUUAAUAACAGAAAAAGAACUCCAGAACUCCAGAGCACAUAAGAAUAAGUGCAGAACAGAAAUAAUGACACUGUAUAAACAAUAGAGAAAAUAAAGAAUUCAAUUGAACAGCGAAAA